rnacentral:rRNA from 1 species
UACAGAGGGUGCGAGCGUUGUCCGGAAUCACUGGGCGUAAAGGGCGCGUAGGUGGCCGUGCUAGUCCCUGGUGAAAGCUCGAUGCUCAACAUCGAGUCGGCCAGAGAUACUGCAGGGCUGGAGCACUGUAGAGGCAGAUGGAAUUCCGGGUGUAGCGGUGGAAUGCGUAGAGAUCCGGAAGAACACCGGUGGCGAAGGCGGUCUGCUGGGCAGUAGCUGACACUGAGGCGCGACAGCGUGGGGAGCAAACAGG